UGACGUUGAUGGACAAUAUAUUCAUUUACUUGGUUUUUACGCGUUUUAUGCUAGAAUAGCACAAAGUUGAAAUUCGUGACACAAACUUGGAACUGUCAGACAACAGUGAGUAAUAUAAUGUAAAUAGAGACAAAAUUGAAAUUCGUGACACAAACUUGGAACUGUCAGACAACCGUGAGUAAUAUCAUAUAAAUACAGACAAAGUUGAAAUUCGUGACACAAACUUGGAACUGUCAGACAACCGUGAGUAAUAUAAUAUAAAUACAGACAAAAUUGAAAUUCGUGACACAAACUUGGAACUGUCAGUAACAUGCGUAUACUUAUUUAGAUGGCUGGUGCAAUUCUGAAAAGGGACAGAUGAUUGUUUUUCUUCCACGUUUCAUUAUCUGUUGUACCGGAAGUUCAACCCACAUCAGUUGACAGCGUUGUAUAAAAGAAACGAGCAGUAAUGGAGAUGGUAAGAAUAACGAAAGCUUUACUGUGACCUAUCAGGAGCAGGAACGAAAUCAGCAAGUAUGAAGAACACGUUUCUAUUCGGAUUAGUUUCAUUGUGCUCCUUUAUAGGACUUGCACUUUGCUACGGAAGUGUUGCAAUGAAUAACAAAGGGUUCGGAGGUUUCGGCUACUAUCCAGCUUAUCCUACUUCCGGUAGCAGUGCUGGCAUGUUUGGAGGGUUAUCAUCUGGUGGCGGGCUGUUUGAAAUGAUUAUAAACCUCUUUUUGUUCAUAUUCCUGAUUCAACUGUUGUUCCCCCGAAACGGAAAUGGAGUGCUAGGAGUUGGAAAAUAAAUACAGAACAUCGUGGAGUAGACACUGACAGAAGCAGCAGCAACAGCAACAACACAAGAAUUAUCACAGUCCAUUAGAAGCUUACAAAAACAUUGUAAAACACAUAAAAAUGUAAAAAGAAAUAUGUGAGAGUUGAUAAAAUAACCCUGCAUAUUGAGAAAACAGGAAUAAAUAAAGUAUCAUGUAACAUAAA
rnacentral:lncRNA from 1 species